AACCAACUCUCCUGGCUUUGAUUUAAAAUGAUGGCUGAAAAAUGUAAAAUCCUGAAUUGUAACUCAAAUAUUUUAUAUAUACUUGUCAAAUUAUGUUGAAAAAAUGAAAAGCUAUAGAUUCAAGCGUUUUAAUUAUAAACGGUGUGUAUAUUAUUACCCAAAGAUUCUUAGUUACGCUGGUUUGAGCUGAAAAUGAUGGAGGUGUAAAUGGGCCGAACUCAGCGACAAAUGUAGUGUGAGCUAAUAAAUAUUUGAGGAAGUAUGGCCAAAUUUGAGAACUUUCUGAAGUACUUGAAGUUUUCUGAUACUGCAUCAGGCCCAGUGUAUGCUUGAAGUUAAGGAUUUCUUGCUAACGAUUCUAGGAAUGGAUCGACUACUUAAACCUUCUACUUAAAGAUAUUUUCAAGUAAUGACAACUCACCAACUGGUUAAAAUAGCGCUUAUACCAGACAACAUGAAAGAAGUUUCACCACGGCCGGCUGAGGUUACCGA